GAUCAUGGCUCAGGACGAACGCUGGCGGCGUGCCUAACACAUGCAAGUCGAACGGGACUUGCCCCUUCGGGGACAAGUUUAGUGGCGGACGGGUGAGUAACGCGUGAGCAACCUACCUUUCAGUGGGGGGACAACAGUUGGAAACGACUGCUAAUACCGCAUAACACUUAUUUAGGGCAUCUUAAAUAAGUCAAAGAUUUAUUGCUGGAAGAUGGGCUCGCGUCUGAUUAGCUAGUUGGUGGGGUAACGGCCCACCAAGGCG
rnacentral:rRNA from 1 species